AUUGAACGCUGGCGGCAUGCUUUACACAUGCAAGUCGAACGGUAACAGGCCGCAAGGUGCUGACGAGUGGCGAACGGGUGAGUAAUGCAUCGGAACGUGCCCAGUCGUGGGGGAUAACGCAGCGAAAGCUGCGCUAGUACCGCAUACGAUCUAUGGAUGAAAGCGGGGGACCGAAAGGCCUCGCGCGAUUGGAGCGGCCGAUGUCAGAUUAGGUAGUUGGUGGGGUAAAGGCCCACCAAGCCAACGAUCUGUAGCUGGUCUGAGAGGACGACCAGCCACACUGGGACGGAGACACGGCCCAGACUCCUACGGGAGGCAGCAGUGGGGAAUUUUGGACAAUGGGCGCAAGCCUGAUCCAGCAAUGCCGCGUGCAGGAAGAAGGCCUUCGGGUUGUAAACUGCUUUUGUACGGAACGAAACGGUCCGGGUUAAUACCCUGGGCUAAUGACGGUACCGUAAGAAUAAGCACCGGCUAACUACGUGCCAGCAGCCGCCGUAAAAC
rnacentral:rRNA from 1 species